rnacentral:rRNA from 1 species
UACAGAGGUCCCAAGCGUUGUUCGGAUUCACUGGGCGUAAAGGGUGCGUAGGCGGUCGGGUAAGUCUGAUGUGAAAUCUCACAGCUUAACUGUGAAACUGCAUUGGAUACUAUCCGGCUCGAGGAAUGGAGGGGAGACUGGAAUACUUGGUGUAGCAGUGAAAUGCGUAGAUAUCAGGAGGAACACCGGUGGCGAAGGCGGGUCUCUGGGCCGAUACUGACACUGAGGAGCGAAAGCGUGGGGAGCGAACAGG